GUGAAAACUGAAAAAGAGUUUACUUAAUACGAUUUGAAAAAAUUCUGUAUAAAUAAUUUUUUUAUUCCUACUUUUUAUUUUUAUUUUAAAUUAAGAAUGUAUGCAACAAUACAGACCAUUAUAAAUCAAUCUUAUAUAAGACGCUUAAUAGGGUUAUGACAUACAUGUAGGCUUGGUGUGUCAUAGAUCAGAGGUCGGUUUUACAUACAGACCGGUGCAAUACAUUGGGUAACAUGUCAAAUAAGGCGAGCAUUGGAAGCAUGAUCCCCAUGGCAACUUUUUCUUCCUACUUUUUUUUUUCUCUGACAAGCUGCACUUGGCAGCUUUGUACAGUCUCAUUAUCAGCAUGAAAUACUUGAAUCUCUAUGAAAGUCAUGAAUGUCAUACCGUCAUUACAGUAUUACUAGCAUUUAAAUAGCAACAACAUUUUCUCCAGUACUUUUCAGUUAUUCAAUGUGUUAUUUAACAGUAAGUAAUUGACAUACAAAAAUAUUUACAGGCCCCGUCUCUCCACAGACUUGGAUUACAGAUCCCAUUCCCUGUGUAUGUACGGGGCUAAAGCAUAGUAUGUACAUUAUAACUGGUGGCAUUUCUAAGGAGGUAGGUUUCUAGUAUAGAAUGCUGCAAAACCUUUUUUUAUUUUGCAUACACAAAACUUAUGUUUUUGUUUUGGUUUUUUUGCAUAAAUUAUCCAUAUUUAAACAUGCAUAUAAAUAAAACAUUGAGGUUAG